rnacentral:lncRNA from 1 species
CUCAGACCUCACCUCCCCAGAGUUACUUUAUUUCUAGAUAUGGGUAGCCUUUGCAAAAUGUUCACCUUUUGCUCCUUGAUGAAACAAUCCAAAAUGUCAGUAGAUUACAAAAGGAAGCCAUAGGACCAUCCAAAUACCUUCUGCAUAUUUGAAAUAGGAAAGAGAAAUCGUACCUCUCGUCAUAUCUGGGCUUAUCCUCUGAGGGUAUAUGUAACGGGAGAGGAUCUUUCUACAAAUCUGAUUGGCCAUCGCCACCCCACCUGCCCAUCUUCUAAUGUGCUCCACUCCCAUGGCAGUCAAACCCCAGGGUGUAAGAACCAUCCAGAAGGAAAAGACAAUCUCAUAUCCUGGAGUUCCCACUUCAGUCGUUCAAAGCAGGCUCGAGAAUCCACUCAAAUAAAACCCCAGAUGAGCUGAAAAGAGGCCACCAGCAGAGGACACCCAAGAAGUCCUUACAACUGGUAGAGGAAGCGAGGAGAAGAC